UUUUUUGUUUGGUUUUUGAUUUUUUUUUUUUUUUUUUUUUUUUUUUUUUUUUUUUUUUUUUUUUUUGCUUUAAGGCCUCUGUGGAGGUUUUACAACUUAGCUGCGAAAUUUCUCACACCCUUCCUGUUGAGAGGUGGGGACUUUGUCCCCUCCCCUGGAAUCUGAGAGCUGCAGAGUAUGGUGGAAAUGACUUUGUGUGACAUCCUAGGCUACAUCAUAAAAGAACAUAUACCACUUCAACCUUGUUUCCUGGAACAUGGAACCACCCUGUUCUGAGAGGCACAGGUAUACUCCCUGGCCAGUAGUCCCAGCUGAGUCCACCCUUCUGGGUAUCCUGCCACAGUGCCAGACAGCUUCCAUGUUGAGUUAUUUCACGGAGAGUCCCAAGGAAUGAAGAGUGUGGCCUCUGGCCAACAGCCUCCAACAACCAUGUGAGUGAGCUUGAAAGUGGAUCCUUCUAUAGUCUAGUCUUCAGAUGAGAUCACAGCCCAACUGAUACCUUGACUGCAACCUGGUAAGAGAUCCUAAGCCAGAGGACCCAGCUCAUGUGCCUAGACUCCUGACCCAUAGAGACCAGGCAAUCAUAAAUGUUGUUUUAAACCACAAAGUUUUGGGAAAAUUUGUUAUACACUAACAGGUAACUGUUAGAGUAUUAUUAGAGCAAAUUUCAGACAGAUGGAGGUAAAGCUUCUUUCAGGUGGCA